rnacentral:rRNA from 1 species
AGUGAACGCUGGCGGUAGGCCUAACACAUGCAAGUCGAACGGCAGCACAGUAAGAGCUUGCUCUUACGGGUGGCGAGUGGCGGACGGGUGAGGAAUACAUCGGAAUCUACUUUUUCGUGGGGGAUAACGUAGGGAAACUUACGCUAAUACCGCAUACGACCUACGGGUGAAAGCAGGGGAUCUUCGGACCUUGCGCGAUUGAAUGAGCCGAUGUCGGAUUAGCUAGUUGGCGGGGUAAAGGCCCACCAAGGCGACGAUCCGUAGCUGGUCUGAGAGGAUGAUCAGCCACACUGGAACUGAGACACGGUCCAGACUCCUACGGGAGGCAGCAGUGGGGAAUAUUGGACAAUGGGCGCAAGCCUGAUCCAGCCAUACCGCGUGAGUGAAGAAGGUCUUCGGGUUGUAAAGCCCUUUUGUUGGGAAAGAAAAACAGCAGGUUAAUACCCCGCUGUUCUGACGGUACCCAAAGAAUAAGCACCGGCUAACUUCGUG